rnacentral:lncRNA from 1 species
GCCUGGUUGAUAGCAUUGUUUCUGUGUCUUGUGUUCUGAUUUUGUCACUUUCUCAAGAAAUGCCUACAAAUUUAUCAGUGUGGUUAUAGGUUUGCCUCUUUCUGUUUUAUGGAUGAAUGUAUUUCUCCAGCUCUGUUGCUCAGGACUAUUAGAUAAUAUUUUCAGGAAUUGCCUCAUUGUUGUGGGAUUCUUUAUAUAUGACACUUUUUUUUUGUCUAAUACCAAAGCAGCAUUUCUCUUUCUGCUAUCAUUGUCUGAAAAGCGUGUAUUUAAAGCAUUUUUGUUUGUAGAGACAGCAGUAGCAGAUUAUGAGCUAGAGGCAAGUCAGGGCUGUAUGGUAAAACCCUAUCUCAAAAAACAAAAACAAAAAACAAACUAAAUGUAAACUAAAAAAUGCAUAUAUACUUAUAUGAAAAUAUAUGGCAGGGUGCAUUAUAUCAUGUAAUAAAUUCUAACUCAAGGAUCAACAGGAUUUUGGGCUAGAGGGAUAGCUCAGUGGAUAAAAACACGUGCUGUUCUGACGGAGGACCUGGGUUUGGUUCCCACAGAGCAGGAAGCAGUCAUCAUUAACUCUAGUUCCAGGGUUUCCAGUGCCCUCUUUUGGUUUCCGUGGGCACCAGGUAUGCAUAUGAGGUACGUACAUACAUACAUACAUACAAAAUAUUCUUACAC